rnacentral:rRNA from 1 species
UAGGGAAUCUUCCACAAUGGGCGCAAGCCUGAUGGAGCAACACCGCGUGAGUGAAGAAGGGUUUCGGCUCGUAAAGCUCUGUUGUUAAAGAAGAACACGUAUGAGAGUAACUGUUCAUACGUUGACGGUACUUAACCAGAAAGGGACGGCUAACUACGUGCCAGCAGCCGCGGUAAUACGUAGGUCCCGAGCGUUGUCCGGAUUUAUUGGGCGUAAAGCGAGCGCAGGCGGUUAGAAAAGUCUGAAGUGAAAGGCAGUGGCUCAACCAUUGUAGGCUUUGGAAACUGUUUAACUUGAGUGCAGAAGGGGAGAGUGGAAUUCCAUGUGUAGCGGUGAAAUGCGUAGAUAUAUGGAGGAACACCGGUGGCGAAAGCGGCUCUCUGGUCUGUAACUGACGCUGAGGCUCGAAAGCGUGGGGAGCGAACAGGAUUAGAUACCCUGGUAGUCCACGCCGUAAACGAUGAGUGCUAGGUGUUGGGUCCUUUCCGGGGCUCAGUGCCGCAGCUAACGCAUUAAGCACUCCGCCUGGGGAGUACGACCGCAAGGUUG